rnacentral:rRNA from 1 species
GGAAGCACCGGCUAACUCUGUGCCAGCAGCCGCGGUAAUACAGGGGGGUGCAAGCGUUGUUCGGAAUUACUGGGCGUAAAGGGAGCGUAGGCGGGAUUGCAAGUACAGUGGUUAAAUCUCCGGGCUCAACCUGGAACUUGCCUUUGUGACUGCAGUCCUUGAGUAUGGUAGAGGUUGGCGGAAUUUCCGGUGUAGCGGUGGAAUGCGUAGAGAUCGGAAAGAACACCAGAGGCGAAGGCGGCCAACUGGACCAAUACUGACGCUGAGGCUCGAAAGCGUGGGGAGCAAACAGGAUUAGAUACCCUGGUAGUCCACGCUGUAAACGAUGAACACUAGAUGUCGGGAGGGGUUCCUUCCGGUGUCGUCGCUAACGCAGUAAGUGUUCCGCCUGGGGAGUACGCUCGCAAGGGUGAAACUCAAAAGGAAUUGACGGG